GACGUAGGAUGCAAGCGUUAUCCGGAAUUAUUGGGCGUAAAGAGUUUGUAGGCGGUUUGUUAAGUUGGAUGUUAAAUCUUUGAGCUCAACUCAAAAUUGGUAUCCAAAACUGGUAGACUAGAGACAGGUAGAGGUAAAUGGAACUCUGUGUGUAGGGGUAAUAUCCGUAGAUAUACAGAAGAACACCAAAAGCGAAGGCAAUUUACUGGACCUGUUCUGACGCUCAAGAACGAAAGCGUGGGUAGCAAACGGG
rnacentral:rRNA from 1 species